UGAUGGUCCGCAGAGACUUCAGCUUGGGAGAGAGUUCCCCCGCCCUCCUGCUGGUCCCACCUCGUCCUGGAUCUUUCCAGCAAAGCCUGGGGUUGCCCUGGGAGGACUGAACCCAUGGUUCUGGAGUCCACAUCCUGCACCCUGCUGACAAGAGUGUUUCUUUAGAAAAAUGUAUUAAACUUUCUUUGUAUUACCAAA